rnacentral:rRNA from 1 species
GACGAACGCUGGCGGCGUGCUUAACACAUGCAAGUCGAACGGAAAGGCCCUGCUUUUGUGGGGUGCUCGAGUGGCGAACGGGUGAGUAACACGUGAGUAACCUGCCCUUGACUUUGGGAUAACUUCAGGAAACUGGGGCUAAUACCGGAUAGGAGCUCCUGCUGCAUGGUGGGGGUUGGAAAGUUUCGGCGGUUGGGGAUGGACUCGCGGCUUAUCAGCUUGUUGGUGGGGUAGUGGCUUACCAAGGCUUUGACGGGUAGCCGGCCUGAGAGGGUGACCGGCCACAUUGGGACUGAGAUACGGCCCAGACUCCUACGGGAGGCAGCAGUGGGGAAUAUUGCACAAUGGGCGGAAGCCUGAUGCAGCAGCGCCGCGUGCGGGAUGACGGCCUUCGGGUUGUAAACCGCUUUCGCCUAUGACGAAGCGUGAGUGACGGUAAUGGGUAAAGAAGCACCGGCUAACUACGUG